CUCCAGCCUCCCACCUCUCACCCCCGCCAGCCUCCGGGCUUGGAGAACAGGACAACCUCCACGGGCCGCUCAGGCCCGCAGCAUGUCGUUUGGGUGUCACGGAUGAAGAACGCUCAUUCCUCGCUACUUUCUCUUCCUGAAGUGCAGGGUCCACGCGCCCCGCCCCACCUCUCCUUUGAUCUGUUCAUUUCUUCUAGAUGUCACAUCUGGGGCAGCUCCGUGGUCACAGGACUGCACGGCUGCCAACGCUGUGAGAUGCCUUCUGGGCAGCGCCCCUCCUCCUGCUCUGGACGGCCAGGUGGGCCAGGCAGCCUGGAGCCAGGUCCUGACGGCAGAGUUCCUGCCCGUGCCCUCCCUGGCCCUGGCCUUCUCAAGCUGUCCAGUCCCUGACCUGUAUGUCGGAGGGUGUGAUGUCCUCAGGCCUCAGAGCCGAGCUGCUCUGUGGGCGUGCACUGACUGCCACUUCUCUCCUGCCAGGAUUCCUCCCUAUUUCUCUGGGACAGACUCAGAUCAGUGCAUCUGACACGAGCCUGGUGGGUGAGGGGACUCUAUGUCCCCAUCCGCCAGUGACGUCUCUGACUUUGACAGUGGAAAUGUGUUUUUACCUAUCACAUCAGCCUGGAAGAUGUACCGUGGAAUACUUCUGAGAAUAGCGUCGAACAUGACUGGAAAAACUAGACACUCCAUUAAUGCCCGGGCCGCCAGGCCAGGCACUCCGAGGACAGUGGGUCUCUCAGUGUGAGUCUCUGAGGGCUCCGUAGCAAAGCACCGUGAACUGCAGGCCGAAAACCACAGAAAUGUACCUACACAGCUCUGGAAACUGGCCAGUCCAAGAUCCAAGCAGAAUCGUGUCUGAUGGGGACCCACUUUCUGCCCAUAGACAGGAUCGCAUUGGUCAUGCAGUCAGACCUUACAUGAGGUAAUAUUAUUGGGCAAAGAGGUGAUCCAGGUUCCUCUCACACUGAAGUGAUAUCAGUUUAAAGGAGAUUGAACGUUCUGCAGGCUCUUUGGAGUGUGCAUGUUAAGUUACCUGUACUGCCUGCCUCUCUGAGCGCUGCACAUGUCUUGACUUAGGUGAUUCUCACAACUGUCUAGAGGGAAGUCGUUGCCAUCUCUUCGUUCUGAGGGUUACCCAGCCACACCCCGGGAGGAGAUUCCAGGUCCAAGAUGCACGUGGAGAACCAGGAAGAAGACUUUUGAGAGUCUGGCACUCGAGUUAAAUGAGGCUGCAGUCAGGAACUGCGGUAACCGUUCUGGCCACCUGGUACCAAGUGUCUUCUCUGUCUUUGUGACAGUGGCAUGCAGAAGAGGUGUCUCACCUGGAGGGACAGGCGGGAGUGUCCCAGGAUGCUGUAGUACAGUAUGGGGACUUCGUGACAUUGAAUUGUGAAUGAAAGCAGCUUAAACACCUUCAUAGUGGGAAAAUGGCACAACGAAUUUUAAUGUAUCUAAACAGGAGAAUGCACUACAGCUAUUAAAAAGAGUGGUUCAGAUAGAAGACCAUGGAAGGACUGAAAGAAGCUCAGAACGUUUUGGUGGUGGGUCGGAUGAUGGCACUUCAAAGCUGCCCGUGUCUCUUCCUGGAUCCUGCAGCCGUCUUCUGUCGCCUGGCCGAGGGGAUGAGGUUGUAAAUGGAGGCAACUGGUUGCUGAUGGUCAUGCAGAAGCCCAAACAAAGAUCUUUCAGUGGAGGCUCUUCUCAGGUAAGCCCUUAACAGACUGCCAGCACAUCGAAGGGACAUGCGUUUGACUAUUCCAAGCGUAGUCCCACAUUCUGGCAACUUUCCCGCUCAUUAUUUAAGUGUUGAUUGUACUCUUCUCUGAGCCGAAUGCAGCCUCCACUUGUUGAAACACCGCCUGGCUGCGUGGCAGUGGUUCUGACGGCCGUGCUUUGUUCUGUUGAAAGGCAGAUGGAACAGUUCACGCCCUUCUGAUUUCAACUCCAUGAAAAAGAGAACAUGAGAAGAUUCUUUUUGUUUUGGUUACACCUGUUGAUAUAAUUUUCAUGCAACACAAGACACAGAACAGGGAUUAUGGUUUUUUCCGGAAGGACAGUAUAAACAGUAAAUGUGCAUUAAAAAGUAAUAUGGCUUCUUCAAAUUAAUAUUAACAUGACCUCAGUGUUAUGGUCUGCAUCGUGUCCCUCCAAAUUCACAGACUGAAGUCUGACUCCCCAUGUGACUUUUGUAGAUGGGUUCUAUCAGGAAUUAGCUAAGGUUAAAUGAGGACGUGGUAGGGCCCUGUUGGGUUGGGACUCGUGUCUUUAUCAGAAGAGACACCAGAGAGGCUCCCACUGCACCCUUCCCCCAAGUGGGCACCAAGAAGAGACCAGUGAGCACUCAGUGGAGGAGAGUCAUGUGCAGCCCAAGAGGAGUGGUCCUAGAACAAAGCCAACCCUGCUGGCACCUGAUCUUGGCCUUGAAGCCUACAGGGCUGAGCAGUCUGUGGUGUGAGCCAGUCCACAGCAGUUUGUUACAGCAGCUGGAGCUGACUAGGACGGUAAGACAUAGAGGGCCUACUUAUUUGUUUCCGAUGCCUGUAUCAAAUCUUAGGAGAGUAGACUUGUUCACUGUCACACAGUUAGUCGCUGGAAGGACCCAGCAUCAAAGUAAAACCUAUGGAUUCUAAAGCCUACAAUGUUAAUCAUUCUUAGAGACUAUUUUAGGUUUUUACAAGAUAAUUGCAUU